rnacentral:tRNA from 1 species
UGGGGAGUGGUGUAACGGCAACACGUCACGCUCUGGACGUGAAAUUUGGGGUUCGAAUCCCUGCUCCCCAG